UGUUCAAAACAAGUAUGAUUUGUUACGUA
rnacentral:piRNA from 1 species